CCUACGGGAGGCAGCAGUGGGGAAUCUUGCACAAUGGGGGAAACCCUGAUGCAGCGACGCCGCGUGAGCGAUGAAGCCCUUCGGGGUGUAAAGCUCUUUCGGCGGGAACGAUAAUGACGGUACCCGCAGAAGAAGCUGCGGCUAACUACGUGCCAGCAGCCGCGGUAAUACGUAGGCAGCAAGCGUUGUUCGGAGUUACUGGGCGUAAAGCGUGUGUAGGCGGUUUGCCAAGUCCGGUGUGAAAUCUCCCGGCUCAACUGGGAGGGUGCGCCGGAAACUGGCAGGCUAGAGUGCGGGAGAGGAGAGCGGAAUUCCUGGUGUAGGGGUGAAAUGCGUAGAUAUCAGGAGGAACACCGGUGGUGUAGACGGCUCUCUGGACCGAUACUGACGCUGAGACACGAAAGCGUGGGGAGCAAACAGGAUUAGAUACCCUGGUAGU
rnacentral:rRNA from 1 species